CUCCGAUUCUACGAGGCUUGGUGCGAACUUCUCGCUGCUAGAUGCCACAAGAUGGCUAGAAAGGACCUUCGCUUCUCUUCCGGCGCGAUAGACAUCCGGGGCCUGGCGCGCGGAGGCUCAUGGGUGGUGCAGAGGAAGAAGAAAUCACAUUGGAGUGUGUAAGCGAGACGGGACAGAGUGACGGAGUUUCAUUGGAGCUGUGUGUGAUGCAUGGAGUGCUGAGAGACUGUGGAGCAUACACACCAGGUGGAACACCCGAUUGCCCGGUGAUGCUGGACAUACAGCCCUACAGCAGCUAUGUUAAUUAUGAUGUGGAUUAACUCAGAAAGGUGACGCUUUCUUUCAGAUUCUACAGUUUAACCCAAUCUGAUGUGAAGCAGUGACAAAUAUAACUCCUGAGGUGGCAGACCCUCUACGCAUAUCAUACUCGCCAAAAAAUUCCAAUCACCUCAAAAGAUCAUCAGUGGACAUCCAUCUCAGUGUUCCUUCAGUGUUGUAUUCUUAAUGUCAUUGAAUGUAGUGUUGUGUGCCAAAUUUUUACAAAGUGUGCUUUGUUCUGUCCUUUGUACUUCUGUUGACUGGUUAUAGAAAGGCUCUUGUGGUAAAAUAAAAAAUCAAUGCUAAAUGUAAAGUGUCUCAUUCAUUCUUAUAAUCACACAUUAUUUCUUUGACCAUGAUAGUAUCAGAGUGAAGAGAGUAUAAUUGUUUAAAGGGUCCCUGCUUCGAUCCUGAGCUCGGGUUACUCCCAUGUUCUCCAUGUGCCCUUCUGGGUUCUCCGGUUUCCUCCCACCUCCCAACAACAUGCCUGUAGAUGGUCUGGCUGCUCAAAUUACCCCUAGAUGUGACUGAGUGUGUCAAUGUGUGUGUGAAUGUGUGUGCUGCCCUGUGAUAGAUAAGAUAAGAUGUACCUUUAUCGAUCCUCUAUAGAGUAAAUUCAAGUUGACCCAGCAGCGUAGGAGGAGUAACAUCAAAGAAAAGCAAAGAAUUUCCAUAAAUACCUAUACAGUAGAAAUAAUAGAAACAAUAAAAUAGGUCUGUGUGUAUGUACAUAUGCUAGGCUUCUUUUCGUAUUACGUACAUGUGCGAUUUCAUGAUCUGUUGAGCUGAUAUGGUGUGACGUAUUAAAAAAAAUUAAUGUUCUUAAGCAACUUAUUUUAAAUUAAAAUUUUUUAAGAACUAAACUAGACUAAUAAUGACUCGAUUCUCAAACAUAUUCAGAGAAUAUUAUGUCAGAAGCUAAAUAUCUGCUCUAAGUAUGAAUAAAGAGUAAUGCAGACCUAAGUCAAUCAUUAUUUACCCUG